rnacentral:rRNA from 1 species
GACAUCCUCUGACAACUAUAGAGAUAGAGCGUUCCCCUUCGGGGGACAGAGUGACAGGUGGUGCAUGGUUGUCGUCAGCUCGUGUCGUGAGAUGUUGGGUUAAGUCCCGCAACGAGCGCAACCCUUGAUCUUAGUUGCCAGCAUUUAGUUGGGCACUCUAAGGUGACUGCCGGUGACAAACCGGAGGAAGGUGGGGAUGACGUCAAAUCAUCAUGCCCCUUAUGACCUGGGCUACACACGUGCUACAAUGGAUGGUACAAAGGGCUGCAAGACCGCGAGGUCAAGCCAAUCCCAUAAAACCAUUCUCAGUUCGGAUUGUAGGCUGCAACUCGCCUACAUGAAGCUGGAAUCGCUAGUAAUCGCGGAUCAGCAUGCCGCGGUGAAUACGUUCCCGGGCCUUGUACACACCGCCCGUCACACCACGAGAGUUUGUAACACCCGAAGUCGGUGGAGUAACCGUAAGGAGCCUAGCCGCCUUAAGGGUU